rnacentral:rRNA from 1 species
CGCGUAGGUGGUUAAUUAAGUCAAAUGUGAAAUCCCCGAGCUUAACUUGGGAAUUGCAUUCGAUACUGGUUAGCUAGAGUAUGGGAGAGGAUGGUAGAAUUCCAGGUGUAGCGGUGAAAUGCGUAGAGAUCUGGAGGAAUACCGAUGGCGAGGGCAGCCAUCUGGCCUAAUACUGACACUGAGGUGCGAAAGCAUGGGAGCAAACA